rnacentral:misc_RNA from 1 species
UCCCCGUUACCGAGGCAGUCUCGUUAGAAAAAUACAACUAACGAUAAGGGUUGCGCUCGUUGCGGGACUUAACCCAACAUCUCACGACACGAGCUGACGACGGCCAUGCAACACCUGUCACUGCGUUCAAUAAAGCACAGACUCCUUUCGGAGUCCUUCGCAGGAUGUCAAACCCUGGUAAGGUUCUUCGCUUAUCAUCGAAUUAAACAACACGCUCCACCGCUUGUGCGGGUCCCCGUCAAUUCCUUUGAGUUUUAGCCUUGCGACCGUACUCCCCAGGCGGGAUGCUUAACGCGUUAGCUUCGCUUCUAAACGGGUCGAUACGUCUAAAUAGCUAGCAUCCAUCGUUUACGGCGUGGACUAC